ACUCCUACGGGAGGCAGCAGUGGGGAAUUUUGGACAAUGGGGGAAACCCUGAUCCAGCCAUGCCGCGUGAGUGAAGAAGGCCUUCGGGUUGUAAAGCUCUUUCAGCCGGGAAGAAAACGCACUCUCUAACAUAGGGUGUGGAUGACGGUACCGGAAGAAGAAGCACCGGCUAACUACGUGCCAGCAGCCGCGGUAAU
rnacentral:rRNA from 1 species